AGACGGGCCUGCAAGAAAAGCUUGUUCUUUUUGUUUUCAAAGGCACCAGAUAUAUUCAGAACUUACAUGGAUGAACUAAGGGAUUCAAGGAUCACUUACAAGGAUUGUCCUGAGUUUAUACUCUUGAUGCUAGAAUUUUCAAGUGAAAAUCCACCUUCAUUUGAUCAAUGGAAGCAAAAUUUUCUUGAGAUGUAUGUUAAAGCUGUUCUAAAUGCAAGAGAAAAGCCACCAAAGGGCCUCAGUGAUGCUUUCGUUCCAUUAUUUUCUCGUUUGACACAUGAAGAUUUUAAGAACACUGUCAUUCCCUCAUCUGUCAAG
rnacentral:misc_RNA from 1 species